rnacentral:rRNA from 1 species
GCUCAACCGAGGAAGUGCCUCGAAAACUGGUAAACUUGAGUGCAGAAGAGGAAAGUGGAACUCCAUGUGUAGCGGUGGAAUGCGUAGAUAUAUGGAAGAACACCAGUGGCGAAGGCGGCUUUCUGGUCUGUAACUGACGCUGAGAUUCGAAAGCAUGGGUAGCAAACAGGAUUAGAUACCCUGGUAGUCCAUGCCGUAAACGAUGAGUGCUAAGUGUUGGAGGGUUUCCGCCCUUCAGUGCUGCAGCUAACGCAUUAAGCACUCCGCCUGGGGAGUACGACCGCAAGGUUGAAACUCAAAGGAAUUGACGGGGGCCCGCACAAGCGGUGGAGCAUGUGGUUUAAUUCGAAGCAACGCGAAGAACCUUACCAGGUCUUGACAUACCAUGAAAAGCUUAGAGAUAAGUCUUUCCCUUCGGGGACAUGGAUACAGGUGGUGCAUGGUUGUCGUCAGCUCGUGUCGUGAGAUGUUGGGUUAAGUCCCGCAACGAGCGCAACCCUUAUUAUCAGUUGCCAGCAUUCAGUUGGGCACUCUGGUGAGACUGCCGGUGACAAACCGGAGGAAGGUGGGGACGACGUCAAAUCAUCAUGCCCCUUAUGACCUGGGCUACACACGUGCUACAAUGGUCGGUACAACG